rnacentral:lncRNA from 1 species
CGAGAUCGCUUCGUAUGGCGAACUCAUGAUGAGGGUCCCUAGGCCCAAUGGGGCGGCGCCUCGAUCUCGUGGUCGAGGCCCCCCUCUUAAAUAGGUACGCCGUUUCGCACCUCAAAAUGAACACGCGGCAUGAUCUGAGAUCGGAUGUUUCUGAUCUCGUAUUGGCAGGAUAGUGAUCUGGGGAGGCUGAGGUUACAUCGGUGCUCCACGUGUCCCUGAGGCUUAUUAAAUGAAGGGAGCAGGGGUGACGUCCGCUCGUCUUUCAAGGUGGUCCGGUUUUGCGGACCCAUGAUGAGGCCGUGAGAUCCGAUGGGACGGC